UUGUGGUCGGUGUACAGGUGGUGCAUGGUUGUCGUCAGCUCGUGUCGUGAGAUGUUGGGUUAAGUCCCGCAACGAGCGCAACCCUCGUCCUAUGUUGCCAGCGGGUCAUGCCGGGGACUCAUGGGAGACUGCCGGGGUCAACUCGGAGGAAGUGGGAUGACGUCAAAUCAUCAUGCCCCUUAUGUCUUGGGCUUCACGCAUGCUACAAUGGCCGGUACAAAGGGCUGCGAUACCGCGAGGUGGAGCGAAUCCCAGAAAGCCGGUCUCAGUUCGGAUUGGGGUCUGCAACUCGACCCCAUGAAGUCGGAGUCGCUAGUAAUCGCAGAUCAGCAACGCUGCGGUGAAUACGUUCCCGGGCCUU
rnacentral:rRNA from 1 species